rnacentral:rRNA from 1 species
GGGUUGUGAGGUUAAGCGACUAAGCGUACACGGUGGAUGCCCUGGCAGUCAGAGGCGAUGAAGGACGUGCUAAUCUGCGAUAAGCGUCGGUGAGGUGAUAUGAACCGUUAUAACCGGCGAUUUCCGAAUGGGGAAACCCAGUGUGUUUCGACACACUAUCAUUAACUGAAUCCAUAGGUUAAUGAGGCGAACCGGGGGAACUGAAACAUCUAAGUACCCCGAGGAAAAGAAAUCAACCGAGAUUCCCCCAGUAGCGGCGAGCGAACGGGGAGGAGCCCAGAGCCUGAAUCAGUGUGUGUGUUAGUGGAAGCGUCUGGAAAGGCGCGCGAUACAGGGUGACAGCCCCGUACACAAAAAUGCACAUAUUGUGAGCUCGAUGAGUAGGGCGGGACACGUGGUAUCCUGUCUGAAUAUGGGGGGACCAUCCUCCAAGGCUAAAUACUCCUGACUGACCGAUAGUGAACCAGUACCGUGAGGGAAAGGCGAAAAGAACCCCGGCGAGGGGAGUGAAAAAGAACCUGAAACCGUGUACGUACAAGCAGUGGGAGCCUCUUUAUGGGGUGACUGCGUACCUUUUGUAUAAUGGGUCAGCGACUUAUAUUCUGUAGCAAGGUUAACCGAAUAGGGGAGCCGAAGGGAAACCGAGUCUUAACUGGGCGUUAAGUUGCAGGGUAUAGACCCGAAACCCGGUGAUCUAGCCAUGGGCAGGUUGAAGGU